UACGUAGGGUGCGAGCGUUAAUCGGAAUUACUGGGCGUAAAGCGUGCGCAGGCGGUUUCGCAAGUCAGAUGUGAAAGCCCCGGGCUCAACCUGGGAAUUGCAUUUGAAACUACGAGGCUAGAGUGUGUCAGAGGGGGGUAGAAUUCCACGUGUAGCAGUGAAAUGCGUAGAGAUGUGGAGGAAUACCGAUGGCGAAGGCAGCCCCCUGGGCCAAUACUGACGCUCAUGCACGAAAGCGUGGGGAGCAAACAGG
rnacentral:rRNA from 1 species